UUCUAGAGAGGAGCUAAGAGACUGUUUUU
rnacentral:piRNA from 1 species